GGCCUCCCUGUCCAGCAUCUGUCAUCUGGUAGGAUCUCUUCUCCUGCAAAGAGGACCCCUCCCACCCUAAAUAAUGAGGAGUCAAUCAGUAAAGAUCAAAGCGACGGCAGGUGCUUGGGACCUCAAUACUCGGGCUAAUGGCAAGCCUUUGGAGAAGAGCUCCAAGGGGUCCCUUGAUGUUCCUUUGGGAUCACGAGAAGCAGAACAGAUGGUACACUCAGGAGAACAGUGACAGAUGAUGACAAAGAUAUGACAUAUGUGAGGCCUCAUUUGCAGAAGUGCUGAACACUCAUGGCUAUAACUGGAAACAGUAAGUGCUAUAGACAAACAGCAGCUCCAGCUAAGAUGAAAUAUAGUCCGGAGUAUUGAAUGUAGAGAUUUUAGUUGCUGGGUUCUAAUCCUGUGUUUGCUAUUGACUCCUCAAAUAUGUGACUGGUAA